UACCAGCACCCCGAGUGGUCGGGACGAUUAUUGGGCCUAAAGCAUCCGUAGCCGGUCCUACAAGUCUUCCGUUAAAUCCACCUGCUCAACAGAUGGGCUGCGGAAGAUACUGUAGGGCUAGGAGGCGGGAGAGGCAAGCGGUACUCAGUGGGUAGGGGUAAAAUCCUCUGAUCCAUUGAAGACCACCAGUGGCGAAGGCGGCUUGCCAGAACGCGCUCGACGGUGAGGGAUGAAAGUUGGGGGAGCAAACCGG
rnacentral:rRNA from 1 species